UUUCUCCUCUCUCUCUCCUCCAUGACCGUAACCCCCCUCCCAUCACCUCCAUCUUCAUCUUCAACCUUGUUCUUGAAGAAUCCAACUCCAUUUCAAGCUAGUUUCAAGUUGGUGUGAAGAUACAAAGGGGUUUCCAAGGUGUAUUCAAGUGAUUUCAAGCUUCUAUCAUUAAAAUCUCAUCCCACAACCUACUUGAAUCUUGAAGUUAAAAAUGCAAGACGCAUAAACAAUUUGAGGGAUCGUGUUAACAUUUAAAAACGCACCC
rnacentral:lncRNA from 1 species